AACGAACGCUAUCGGUAUGCUUAACACAUGCAAGUCGGACGGACUAACUAGGGCUUUCCUCAUUUAGCUAGUGGCAGACGGGUGAGUAACACGUGGGAAUCACCCCCUUAUAACGGAAUAAUUUUUAGAAAAAAAAGCAAAUACCGCAUAUUCAUAUCUUGGAAAAGAUUUAUCGCUGAUGAAUGACCCCGUUUCUGAUUAGUAAGUUGGUGUGGUAACGGCUUACCAAGCCGGCGAACGGUACCUGGUCUGAGAGGAUGAUCAGCCACACGGGGGCUGAGACGCAGCCCAGACUCCUACGGGAGGGAGCAGAGGGGGAUAUUGGACAAUGGGCGAAGGCCUGAUCCAGCAAUACCGGGUAAGUUAUAAAGGCCGUGGGGUUGUAAAGCUCUUUUAGCAAGGAAGAUAAUGACGUUACUUGCAGAAAAAGCCCCGGCUAACUCCGUG
rnacentral:rRNA from 1 species